rnacentral:rRNA from 1 species
UACGGAGGGUGCAAGCGUUACUCGGAAUCACUGGGCGUAAAGAGCGCGUAGGCGGGAUAGCAAGUCAGAUGUGAAAUCCUAUGGCUUAACCAUAGAACUGCAUUUGAAACUGUUAUUCUAGAGUAUGGGAGAGGUAGGUGGAAUUCUUGGUGUAGGGGUAAAAUCCGUAGAGAUCAAGAGGAAUACUCAUUGCGAAGGCGACCUACUGGAACAUUAUUGACGCUGAGGAACGAAAGCCAGGGGAGCAAAUGGG